rnacentral:antisense_RNA from 1 species
CUUCAUGGCGGCUGUGCGCAGGGCACCUUCGGGUGCGCCGGGUUCCACUAGCCGGUCGACUAACCUGCGUACAGCCGCCACCCUC